CUGCCUUCUCCUCUCUGAUGGAAAACCAUUGUUUCGCAAGUUUCUGGAGCUUUUUUCAAAUUGGUUACCAGUCGUGACCCGAGUGGAGAUGUUUAAAAAGAGUUCGCUGCCUCAAGAGCAGACUUCCAUUACCACAGGCUCGUCUGGGACGAAGCUCAUAGCAGCAGAAAGCCAAGGCAUUUCUGUUUUCGGUCCUCACUGCUUCAAUCAAAUUUUGCUUUGACUUUGUCAUUUUCGGACUGAAGGAGUCAGUACUUAGGAUCAAGGUCAAGACUUCUUUGAUGAGAAAAGCCAGGAGCAAGG